rnacentral:rRNA from 1 species
ACCUAGGCGACGAUCCCUAGCUGGUCUGAGAGGAUGACCAGCCACACUGGAACUGAGACACGGUCCAGACUCCUACGGGAGGCAGCAGUGGGGAAUAUUGCACAAUGGGCGCAAGCCUGAUGCAGCCAUGCCGCGUGUAUGAAGAAGGCCUUCGGGUUGUAAAGUACUUUCAGCGGGGAGGAAGGGAGUAAAGUUAAUACCUUUGCUCAUUGACGUUACCCGCAGAAGAAGCACCGGCUAACUCCGUGCCAGCAGCCGCGGUAAUACGGAGGGUGCAAGCGUUAAUCGGAAUUACUGGGCGUAAAGCGCACGCAGGCGGUUUGUUAAGUCAGAUGUGAAAUCCCCGGGCUCAACCUGGGAACUGCAUCUGAUACUGGCAAGCUUGAGUCUCGUAGAGGGGGGUGGAAUUCCAGGUGUAGCGGUGAAAUGCGUAGAGAUCUAGAGGAAUACCGGUGGCGAAGGCGGCCCCCUGGACGAAGACUGACGCUCAGGUGCGAAAGCGUGGGGAGCAAACAAAAUUCUAUACCCUGGUAGUCCACGCCGUAAACGAUGUCGACUUGGAGGGUGCGCCCCUUGAGGCGGGGCUUCCGGAGCUAACGCGUUAAGUCGACCGCCUGGGGAGUACGGCCGCAAGGUUAAAACUCAAAUGAAUUGACGGGGGCCCGCACAAGCGGUGGAGCAUGUGGUUUAAUUCGAUGCAACGCGAAGAACCUUACCUGGUCUUGACAUCCACAGAACUUUCCAGAGAUGGAUUGGUGCCUUCGGGAACUGUGAGACAGGUGCUGCAUGGCUGUCGUCAGCUCGUGUUGUGAAAUGUUGGGUUAAGUCCCGCAACGAGCGCAACCCUUAUCCUUUGUUGCCAGCGGUCCGGCCGGGAACUCAAAGGAGACUGCCAGUGAUAAACUGGAGGAAGGUGGGGAUGACGUCAAGUCAUCAUGGCCCUUACGACCAGGGCUACACACGUGCUACAAUGGCGCAUACAAAGAGAAGCGACCUCGCGAGAGCAAGCGGACCUCAUAAAGUGCGUCGUAGUCCGGAUUGGAGUCUGCAACUCGACUCCAUGAAGUCGGAAUCGCUAGUAAUCGUGGAUCAGAAUGCCACGGUGAAUACGUUCCCGGGCCUUGCACA